rnacentral:rRNA from 1 species
UGGGGAAUUUUGGACAAUGGGCGCAAGCCUGAUCCAGCAAUGCCGCGUGAAUGAUGAAGGUCUUAGGAUUGUAAAAUUCUUUCACCGGGGACGAUAAUGACGGUACCCGGAGAAGAAGCCCCGGCUAACUUCGUGCCAGCAGCUGCGGUAAUACGAAGGGGGCUAGCGUUGCUCGGAAUUACUGGGCGUAAAGGGAGCGUAGGCGGACAGUUAAGUCAGGGGUGAAAUCCCGGGGCUCAACCUCGGAAUUGCCUUUGAUACUGGCUGGCUUGAGUGUGAGAGAGGUAUGUGGAACUCCGAGUGUAGAAGUGAAAUUCGUAGAUAUUCGGAAGAACACCAGUGGCGAAGGUGACAUACUGGCUCAUUACUGACGCUGAGGCUCGAAAGCGUGGGGAGCAAACA